AGAUUGAACGCUGGCGGCAGGCCUAACACAUGCAAGUCGAGCGGCAGCACGGGUACUUGUACCUGGUGGCGAGCGGCGGACGGGUGAGUAAUGCCUAGGAAUCUGCCUGAUAGUGGGGGAUAACGUUCGGAAACGGACGCUAAUACCGCAUACGUCCUACGGGAGAAAGUGGGGGAUCUUCGGACCUCACGCUAUCAGAUGAGCCUAGGUCGGAUUAGCUAGUUGGUAGGUAAGCCUACCAAGGC
rnacentral:rRNA from 1 species